rnacentral:rRNA from 1 species
CCUACGGGUGGCAGCAGUGAGGAAUAUUGGUCAAUGGCCGGAAGGCUGAACCAGCCAGGCCGCGUGAAGGACGAAGGUGCCAAGCAUUGUAAACUUCUUUUGUCAAGGGACAAAAUCAGGCUCGAGAGCCUGACCGAGGGUACUUGAAGAAAAAGCAUCGGCUAACUCCGUGCCAGCAGCCGCGGUAAUACGGAGGAUGCGAGCGUUAUCCGGAUUUAUUGGGUUUAAAGGGAGCGUAGGCCGGCUUUUAAGUCAGCUGUGAAAGUCCGCGGCUCAACCGUGGAAUUGCAGUUGAAACUGGAGGCCUUGAGUGCACACAGGGAUGCCGGAAUUCAUGGUGUAGCGGUGAAAUGCUUAGAUAUCAUGAAGAACUCCGAUCGCGAAGGCAAGUGUCCGGGGUGCAACUGACGCUGAGACUCGAAAGUGCGGGUAUCAAACAGGAUUAGAUACACGGGUAGUC